rnacentral:lncRNA from 1 species
AAUUACCUUCUCUGUGUGGAAAUGGUACAUCAGAUUCGGAAAUCUGAUCCAUUCUUCCACCAAAGGGAUCCAUAAUCAUCAUUGGUAAAUCCUCCUCAAGAAACCUUUCCCAUAUCCCUUCAAGUCCAUAUUCAGGUAUUGGUUCCUGCACAAAGUCUGAUUUUGCCUUGAAAUUGCUCUUGGAUAGUAGUGUCCUACCCAGUAGAACUUCUAAUGGCUGCCCCUUCUUGAAUUCAGCAAAGUACAGGGCUGAUUCAACCCAGCUCAUUUCAUUGCAGUCUUUGGGUUUUAACCCGAGCUCGGGGAAGAUUGCACUCAUCAAUGGGAUUAGCCUGUCAAUCCCUCCAAGAAACAAUGAAUCGAAAGAAGCUUGCACGGUUCUUUUGUUGCUGGUACAUACGUUUUGAAUGAUGAUUCUGAUGAAGAGAUCUUCAUGCAUUUUAUGUGCAAUGUAUUGCCACCUGUGAACCAGCUUUGUGGCACCUUCUUCAAGCGUUCUUGAGACUGUGAAAGCAGUCACAGUUUUUGGAACAGGAACAAGCUUGAUCUUCCAUGAGAGGAUGAUCCCAAAG